GAUGAACGCUGGCGGCGUGCCUAAUACAUGCAAGUCGAGCGAACAGACGAGGAGCUUGCUCCUCUGACGUUAGCGGCGGACGGGUGAGUAACACGUGGAUAACCUACCUAUAAGACUGGGAUAACUUCGGGAAACCGGAGCUAAUCCCGGAUAAUAUAUUGAACCGCAUGGUUCAAUAGUGAAAGACGGUUUUGCUGUCACUUAUAGAUGGAUCCGCGCCGCAUUAGCUAGUUGGUAAGGUAACGGCUUACCAAGGCAACGAUGCGUAGCCGACCUGAGAGGGUGAUCGGCCACACUGGAACUGAGACACGGUCCAGACGCCUACGGGAGGCAGCAGUAGGGAAUCUUCCGCAAUGGGCGAAAGCCUGACGGAGCAACGCCGCGUGAGUGAUGAAGGUCUUCGGAUCGUAAAACUCUGUUAUUAGGGAAGAACAAAUGUGUAAGUAACUAUGCACGUCUUGACGGUACCGAAUCAGAAAGCCACGGCUAACUACGUG
rnacentral:rRNA from 1 species